CCCUUUGGCGGCGUGGUUAAGACAUGCAAGUCGAACGGGGCUGGUUUGGUAGCAAUACCGGGCCAGCCUAGUGGCGAACGGGUGCGUAACACGUGACCAACCUUCCCAAAAGUGGGGAAUAGCUCGCCGAAAGGCGGAUUAAUACCGCAUGUACCUCAAAGCAAUUUGAGGCAAAGCAGCAAUGCGCUUUUGGAUGGGGUCGCGGCCUAUCAGCUAGUUGGUGGGGUAAAGGCUCACCAAGGCAUCGACGGGUAGCUGGUCUGAGAGGACGACCAGCCACACUGGAACUGAGACACGGUCCAGACACCUACGGGUGGCAGCAGUCGAGAAUUUUUCUCAAUGGGGGAAACCCUGAAGGAGCGACGCCGCGUGGAGGAUGAAGGCUUUCGGGUUGUAAACUCCUGUCAUUUGGGAACAAAGUCCGCCUCUGGCGGAUGUGAUAGUACCAGAAGAGGAAGAGACGGCUAACUCUGUGCCAGCAGCCGCGGUAAUACAGAGGUCUCAAACGUUGUUCGGAUUCAUUGGGCGUAAAGGGCGCGUAGGCUGCGGGGUAAGUCAGGUGUGAAAUCUCAGAGCUCAACUCUGAAAUUGCACUUGAUACUGCUCUGCUAGAGGACUGGAGAGGAGAUUGGAAUUCACGGUGUAGCAU
rnacentral:rRNA from 1 species